rnacentral:rRNA from 1 species
AUUGAACGCUGGCGGCAGGCUUAACACAUGCAAGUCGAACGAUGAUUAUCUAGCUUGCUAGAUAUGAUUAGUGGCGGACGGGUGAGUAACAUUUAGGAAUCUGCCUAGUAGUGGGGGAUAGCUCGGGGAAACUCGAAUUAAUACCGCAUACGACCUACGGGUGAAAGGGGGCGCAAGCUCUUGCUAUUAGAUGAGCCUAAAUCAGAUUAGCUAGUUGGUGGGGUAAAGGCCCACCAAGGCGACGAUCUGUAACUGGUCUGAGAGGAUGAUCAGUCACACCGGAACUGAGACACGGUCCGGACUCCUACGGGGGGCAGCAGUGGGGAAUAUUGGACAAUGGGGGCAACCCUGAUCCAGCCAUGCCGCGUGUGUGAAGAAGGCCUUUUGGUUGUAAAGCACUUUAAGCAGGGAGGAGAGGCUAAUGGUUAAUACCCAUUAGAUUAGACGUUACCUGCAGAAUAAGCACCGGCUAACUCUGUGCCAGCAGCCGCGGUAAUACAGAGGGUGCGAGCGUUAAUCGGAAUUACUGGGCGUAAAGCGAGUGUAGGUGGCUCAUUAAGUCACAUGUGAAAUCCCCGGGCUUAACCUGGGAACUGCAUGUGAUACUGGUGGUGCUAGAAUAUGUGAGAGGGAAGUAGAAUUCCAGGUGUAGCGGUGAAAUGCGUAGAGAUCUGGAGGAAUACCGAUGGCGAAGGCAGCUUCCUGGCAUAAUAUUGACACUGAGAUUCGAAAGCGUGGGUAGCAAACAGGAUUAGAUACCCUGGUAGUCCACGCCGUAAACGAUGUCUACUAGCCGUUGGGGUCCUUGAGACUUUAGUGGCGCAGUUAACGCGAUAAGUAGACCGCCUGGGGAGUACGGCCGCAAGGUUAAAACUCAAAUGAAUUGACGGGGGCCCGCACAAGCGGUGGAGCAUGUGGUUUAAUUCGAUGCAACGCGAAGAACCUUACCUGGUCUUGACAUAGUGAGAAUCCUGCAGAGAUGCGGGAAUGCCUUCGGGAAUUCACAUACAGGUGCUGCAUGGCUGUCGUCAGCUCGUGUCGUGAGAUGUUGGGUUAAGUCCCGCAACGAGCGCAACCCUUUUCCUUAUUUGCCAGCGGGUUAAGCCGGGAACUUUAAGGAUACUGCCAGUGACAAACUGGAGGAAGGCGGGGACGACGUCAAGUCAUCAUGGCCCUUACGACCAGGGCUACACACGUGCUACAAUGGUAGGUACAGAGGGUUGCUACACAGCGAUGUGAUGCUAAUCUCAAAAAGCCUAUCGUAGUCCGGAUUGGAGUCUGCAACUCGACUCCAUGAAGUCGGAAUCGCUAGUAAUCGCAGAUCAGAAUGCUGCGGUGAAUACGUUCCCGGGCCU